AAACUGCGUUUAAAGUAGUUCUGCAGUCGAAAGGAACUAUAUUUUCCCCUCUUUUUCAGCACGAUUUCUUCCGAUUUCUUACCUUCCCUUUCCCUUUUUCCAUCUACAAAAUUAAAUCUCUUGUUUUCUUCCCAAAAUCCAAUUAUUCUUCACAUCUUCUUGCAUUUCAUCCUCUAAAUCAUGGGUUUUUCUCCCCCAAAAUCGAUUUUUAGGGUUUUCUUCUCACAUUUGGAAUUCUCCUCAAAUCUAAGGUGCGGUGGAUUGGAUUUGGGAAUAUUUUUUGAGUUGGAUAGGUUGAGUUUUAUGGAGUUCCUUGUUUUCCUAGGUUUUCACCCAUAGAGUUGUGAGUUAAUUUGUUAGGAUUUUCAAUGUAUUACCUAGGAAAGAAAAAGGGAAGAACAUGGCUAGUUCAAGUCAUAGGAAACAAGAUCCGAAACCCCAGUUUGAGCACCCUAGGUUCGUGUCCCAAGAGGUUUUAGAUAGAUUUCAUCACGUUGUAUCUACUAGGAAGCUAGUCCCCGAAAGGGCGUUAUCUCUAGAGGCAAACUUCUACCUCCACAUCACUAUUGAAAUACAAUAGCGUGGUUGGGAAUCUUUUGCUGGUCGUCCUGGUGAGGUGGUUGCUUCUCUUGUUAGAGAGUUUUAUGCCAACAUCGAUGAGGACAUGGAUUUCUCAUUGGUGAGAAACAUUCGAGUGCCCUUCUCCUCUCUCUGGAUCAAUGAAGUCUAUAGGUUAACUGACUUCAAUGAUGAAUAUGGUAGGUUCUGCUCACAGCAGUUCUCAGAUCAGGAGGUUAUCCAAGCUCUCCGUGGGCCUAGAGUUGAGUGGGUCCAUUCACCUGUUGUUGCAGUCCGGUUCAAGGAGAUAGAGAUGUUUGUUUUCGGUCAAAUCUGGCAUGCAUUUGUUUGCUCCAGGCUGAUGUCAGUGUUACGUCGUCACUAAGGAUAGAGAAAAACUCUUGUACUGCCUCGUCAAGUUAUGUCCGUCAAUGCGGUUGGGUCAUUAGAGCCUCCAUCCACCCUUCUAGACAUUGUUCCACUAUGGGUAGCCUAAGACAUCCUAGCUUGAUUAUAAAACUUUGCCAGAGGUCCGGGGUGGAAAUCCCUGCUGAGGAGGAAAGGAUGGGACGCUGUGGACCCAUUUGCAGGUCUUCAGUAGCUUUGUUCCAUGGCCAUGGUGUGGAAGAGCAUGACGAGAAGAAGCAAGAUGACAAGGAGAUUUCGGGCGAGGAGCUUCCUUAUUCUAAUCCCCAGGAUCAGUACGGUGUGUCAGUUGAGGAGGAGUCGGUUGGUGAACGCACCCUGAGGAUGGCCACUGAAGCCUUAAGGUAUCUCCAAAGUCCUAAAUAGAAAGAGGCAAAAAUGAAGAGAGCAGUAACCCAACCAUCACCCCGUGCGUGAUAAUGUUUUCAGGCGAGGUUUUCUGUUCCCUUGUACUUAUUAUUUUAAGAGCUUUAUUCAGGGAUACAUUGGGGGACAAUGUAUCAUUUUAAGUCGGAGGUGGGGUACCCGUUGGAUAGUAUAUUUUAGCUUGGUGUCCUUGAGCGUUUUGCUCGGACAUUGUUGUGUGCUUAAUUGUUUUGUUUGCUCUGUUGUUUUGGUUGUUAUGAUGAUAGUUUAUGACGCACUCCUCAUGUGAUAAAAUUUGCAUGAGAUAAUGUUAGGAGAGCAUGAUCAUGAUUUUUAGCCCAAUUUAAAAAAAAUUUCUUGUCUCUCAUGCAUCUUUAAGUCAUUGUUCUUGCAAAAAUUAAAGUCUUCAUGCUUAGAAUUGGGUUAUCUGGUUUGUAUUUCUGUUGUCACCCCAAAAGGUCCACCUUUUACUUGGGAGUAACCUUACUUGUUUUAGAGAAAAACUAGACAAAGUGGAUAAAUAAGGGCCUAGUGUGUGAAUUAAAAAAGAAAAAAAGAGAGAGAAAAGCAAAUUAGUUGCUAAGGAAAAAUGCAUAUAAAAAAAUGAGGUAAUUGCUAGUUUCAAAGUGUGUGUGUGUGUGUGCAUGGAUAGGGUGGAAAAAGUUACCUCUGUCGUGUCUAGUUAGAGCCCUGUGAGAAAAUAGUGGAUAAGUUUUCGGUGGUUGAGUGUGAAAGCUAGCCCUUUAGGUAAAAUAAAUGUCUUUCUAUGUUUUGUGUAGGUGAGUUUAGGUACCCUUGUCUUAGUGUUGCCUUUUUUGCAAGUUUGAUAUGUUUGGAGUCGAUAACCGAGCAAGAGUAGGAAAAACAGAUUUAAGGCCUUAUAAAACCUAUCCGGGUUGUGCAAGCGUAACUAGCAAGACUCUAGACUCACUCAUGCAUGAAUAGAUUUAGAAUUAUUCUUAAAAAUGUACUUCAUUGAUUGAUUGUAAUCAAGUUCAUUCUUGAUUGCAAAAUUUAUCUUUAUUGACUGUUGAGACUAGAGUAACAACUUUUGCAACUUGAGCAAGCAUGUUUUUUAAUGAAUGAAUAUAUUUGUUUAAAUGUAUGUUUAUAUCUUGCUCGAGACGAGCAAGAAUUAAGUUGGGGAUGUUUGAUAGCUCUAAAAAAGAGCUAUAAGUUCUAGCUUAAUUUAGGCUCAUUAAUGGAUUUUAUAUGUUAAUUAUCUUAUUUUGUAGGUAUCGAGCAACCAAAAGGUAGAACUGACCAUUUGAUGAGAAAUAGGGUUAAUUUGAAGCAAUUUAAGAUAAUUUGAGUAUCUGGGCUUCAAAGAAGAGGAAAUGACCAAACGACCCCUAUUCGGAGCAUUGCAAUGCUCAUACAUGUAUAAAUCCAACACUUGUGCAAUGCUGAGAGGCAGAACCUAAAGAUAUAGGGCAACAUUGCAACACUGCGAAUAUUAACUAAACGCCAAGCAUCUCCGCGCGCGAAUAUUAACUGUCGCAAGUGAAUGUCGCAGCAAUGUUGCAUGUCAUGCCAAUGCUCAAGGGUUACUGUUGACAAAAGUGUUGCAAUGCUCUGACUAGCGUUGCAACACUAGCCCCAAUUUCUAUUUAAUCUCUCUUCGAUUUUAGGUUAAAACUAUGCUGAUUUUUAUGAAGGCCGGGGAGAGGCCUAGUUUUCUUCCUUCCUCUUUACAUUUUCAGUAUCAUUAGGCUAGAUUUAUGUUUUAUUUUGGACUGUAAGCAUGAAUUGGGUUGUUUCUAAUGGAUUUAUCUAUGGAUUUUUUAGGUAAA